UUCAGUAGCGGCGAGCGAAGCAGGCAUAGCUCAAAUUUGUAAUCUGGCUGUUUUACAGUCCGAGUUGUAAUUUCUAGAGGCGAGUUCGGUGGCAGCCCUGGUUCAAGUCCGCUGGAACGCGGCGUCAUGGAGGGUGAGAAUCCCGUGAAUGAUCAGGUGUCUGUUGCUAUGUGAACCGUUUUCGAAGAGUCGAGUUGUUUGGGAAUGCAGCUCUAAAUGGGAGGUAAAUUUCUUCUAAAGCUAAAUAUUGGCCAGAGACCGAUAGCGAACAAGUAGAGUGAUCGAAAGAUGAAAAGAACUUUGAAAAGAGAGUUAAACAGUACGUGAAAUUGUUGAAAGGGAAGCGCUUGAGAUCAGACUUCCUGCGCAGACUAUCCUUGCUUCUGCUUGGGUCAAUAGUCUGUGCGUGGAGGCCAGCAUCAGUUUUGACGGUCGGAUAAAGGUUUGGGGAAGGUGGCUCACCUCGGUGAGUGUUAUAGCCCCAGAUGCAAUACGGCCAGUUGGGACUGAGGACCGCGGCUUUGCCUAGGAUGCUGGCGUAAUGGUCUUAAGCGACCCGUCUUGAAACACGGACCA
rnacentral:rRNA from 1 species